rnacentral:rRNA from 1 species
CAUUCUUGGGUUAGGGUUUAUUCUAUGAUUAGGGUUGCCCAAAGGUCUUUCUAUGGUUAGGGCUCGGAUUAGGCUUGGGUUAGAUCCCUUUGUCUUGCGCCAAGGUCUCUCUAUGAUUAGGGUUGGCCUCGGGUUAGGCUUGGGUUUAGAUCCCCUUGUCUUGCGCCAAGGUCUUUCUAUGGUUAGGCCUCGGGUUAGGGUCCCCUUUGUCUCACAGCACCAACUGUGUAGUGUAUAAUCUUGACCGAGUGAGAGUUGGUGCUCUACACAAGGUCUUAAAAAGUUGUUUACAACUUUCAGCAAUGGAUCUCUUGGUUCUCGCAUCGAUGAAGAACGCAGUGAAAUGCGAUAACUGGUGUGAAUUGCAUCCUAGCAACUCUAAUUUACGGAUAACACCAAGUGAAUCAUCGAGUCUUUGAACGCAAUUGCGCCCUCUCGGUCGCUUCCAAUUGGGGGUUGACUCAUAGGGGGUACAUCUGUUCGAGGGUCAUAAGAGUCUCAAAGGGGGGGAUACCCUUUGGAAUUGGGCCUUUGCUGGCUUGUCAGCUUGCCUAGAGAGCAUUAGCGAUUGAUCUCAAGUCUCUGGGUCUUUAAAGAUGCAGUCCCAAGUCUUUUUGGUUAUCAACUUGCUUCUUAAUCGAUUGUUAGCCUUANGGUUAGGGUUAAAUAAUGACCUCGAAUCAGAUGAGACUACCCGCCGAACUUAAGCAUAUCAUUAAGCGGANGAAAAGAAACUAACAAGGAUUCCCUCAGUAACGGCGAGUGAAGAGGGAAGAGCUCAGUUUUGAAAUCUGGCAGUCUCUUGACUGUCCGAGUUGUAAAUUGAAGAGANNGUCAUCCAUGCUGGACCACGUCUAAAUUGUAAUGAUCCACAGUCCUUUGAUGGAGUAUCAGAGAGGGUAAUAAUCCCGUCUUUAACGUGGACUACCAGUGUUGAUGUGAUGCACUCUCUCA